AGAAUCAACGCUGGCGGCGUGCCUAACACAUGCAAGUCGCACGAGAAAGGGGAGCAAUCCCUGAGUACAGUGGCGCACGGGUGAGUAACACGUGAAUAAUCUACCUCCGAGUGGGGAAUAACUGAGAGAAAUCUUAGCUAAUACCGCAUAACACUUACGAGUCAAAGCAGCAAUGCGCUUGGAGAGGAGUUCGCGGCAGAUUAGUUAGUUGGCGGGGUAAUGGCCCACCAAGACGAUGAUCUGUAUCCGGCCUGAGAGGGCGCACGGACACACUGGAACUGAAACACGGUCCAGACUCCUACGGGAGGCAGCAGUGGGGAAUUUUGCGCAAUGGGGAAACCCUGACGCAGCAACGCCGCGUGGAGGAUGAAGCCCUUGGGUGUAAACUCCUUUCGAUCGGGAAGAUAAUGACGGUACCGAUAUAAGAAGCCCCGGCUAACUUCGCGCCAGCAGCCGC
rnacentral:rRNA from 1 species